rnacentral:lncRNA from 1 species
AAUGGCCCGCAUUGCCCCUUACCUCUGUUCUCAUUACAGAAGGCUGAAGGGGCAUCUUUAAUUUUCAAGCUGCAAGGAGGAAAGCAACAACAUCAGAAAGAGAAGAUGGAAAUGGUGGUCCCAGUGACUCAUCUUGAGGAAGGAGAAAACAUGAGGAGGCACUAUAAGGACAUCUGCUGGAGCACCUCGUGCUGGCCUUUGCUGUGUGAGGGUGAAUGUUGUGACAGAGACAACUUUGCAACCUGUAAGGGAGGAGGAUCCUCUCCAAGUACAAUUUUUUUUUUCCCUCUAGUGCAGUUUGGAAGUGAGGUUUCCUGCACUUACAGGGAGAUAAGAUUCACUGUCUGUAUUCCUCUUUUUCUGCCACCUUAUUAAAACAGCUGUUUUAUUAAGCCAUUUUUGGUUGUAUUUCUCCUUCUG